AGGCAUCGGGACGGCCGAUUGGCCUCUUUUUUUGAACCAUCGUUGGCGGCGUCCAUUUCAUACCAGUCGUUAGAUUAGAGACGUCUAGUUAGAGGACUCUGAGUCGUUACAUUGCUGAUUUUAUCCUGUUUCUUCACUUCAUCGAGUCUCAACCGCAGUAAGCUAUGGAUGACUACCUGAAAAUCGAGAAGAUCGGAGAAGGGACCUACGGCGUGGUCUACAAGGGCAGACACAAGAGCACGGGCCAGAUCGUUGCCAUGAAGAAGAUCCGCCUGGAGAGCGAGGAAGAGGGGGUCCCCAGCACGGCCGUCCGCGAGAUCUCCCUGCUCAAGGAGCUCCAGCACCCCAACGUGGUCCAGCUACUGGACGUCCUGAUGCAGGAGUCGCGCCUCUACCUCAUCUUCGAGUUCCUGUCCAUGGACCUGAAGAAGUACCUGGACUCCAUCCCGUCCGGCGAGUACAUGGACACCAUGCUGGUCAAGAGCUACCUGUACCAGAUCCUGGAGGGCAUCCAGUUCUGCCACUGCCGGCGGGUUCUGCACCGUGACCUGAAGCCCCAGAACCUGCUCAUCGACAACAAGGGCGUGAUCAAGCUGGCCGACUUCGGCCUGGCGCGGGCCUUCGGCGUCCCCAUCCGCGUCUACACGCACGAGGUGGUGACCCUGUGGUACCGGGCCCCCGAGGUCCUGCUUGGCUCGGCGCGCUACGCGACGCCGGUGGACGUGUGGAGCAUCGGCACCAUCUUCGCCGAGCUGGCCACCAAGAAGCCCCUGUUCCACGGGGACUCAGAGAUAGACCAGCUCUUCCGCAUCUUCAGGACCCUCGGGACCCCCAACAACGACAUCUGGCCAGAGGUGGAGUCCCUGCCCGACUACAAGAACACCUUCCCCAAGUGGAAGGCGGGGAACCUGGCCGCCAUGGUGAAGAACCUGGACAAGAACGGCCUCGACCUGCUGGCCAAAACUCUGAUCUACAACCCGCCCAAAAGGAUCUCGGCCCGCCAGGCCAUGGCCCACCCCUACUUUGACGACCUGGACAAGUCUACGCUGCCGGCCAGCUCCACCCAGAUCUGAGCCCCGCACCUCCACCAUGAUUUGAGCACCAUACCUCCACCCAGAUUUGAGCCCCCUACCUCCACCCAGAUCUGAGCUCAGCUCCUCCACCCAGAUCUGAGCUCAGCUCCUCCACCCAGAUCUGAGCCCCCCUCACCCCCACCCAGAUCUGAGCCCCCUCACCCCCACCCAGAUCGGAGCCCCUCACCCCCACCCAGAUCUGAGCCCCCUCACCCCCACCCAGAUCGGAGCCCCCCAAGCUCCACUCAGAUCUGAGCCCCCCACCUCCACCCAGAUCUGAGCUCUAUUCAGCACCGCCCGAUUCUUAUCGCAGCCCCGACCGGGACUGAGCCCAGCUCCUCGCCUCGCAACCUUGUUUCUUUCAAUGUUUUUGGAGUAUUCUUGUAAAUAUUUUAAUGGUUGUUUGUUUCAUAACCUAGUAAAGUUCCUUUUUAACCAUA